CUCGAUCGAUCGAUCUCUUCUCCGAUUUAUUCUUCGAUUCUUGCUUCGUCUCCAAUAGCAAUGGAGAUAUAGAGCGACAGUGGGAGGGGAAGAGAGAGAAAGAGAGGGAGGGGAAGGAGCGGCUCGGGUUCGGAUUGAGAACGAGGACAUGGAGGCUUUCCGUUUCUCCGGCCCGCUUCUCCGAGCCUCGAGUCGAGGCUUUCGUCGUCAACGCUUCCCUUCGGUGCUUAGUUGGAGGCGGGACUUCCUCCGUGGGCGUCAUUUGCCGUCGGAUCCCGAGAGAUCUGUUAGUUUUCGAACAUGUUUGUCGGUUUGCGUGAUGGCAAUUAACGUGUUGACGAGAAGCGGUGGACCCGUCCGCUUGUAACUGCAGAUGUUUGAAGUUGUUUGUAUCAUUCUGAGCGCAAUGAUACUUUUUCCUCCAAGUUUAGCCUUUGAUCUCAUUGAUGUAUCUUCGUUGGUUACCCUCGGAAACAGUAAGGAAAUUGAACCUAUGACUUGAAAACACAUAAAAUUUUUAUGCAUUAUGUUACGAUGGUUA